GCGGAUGUAGCCAAGAGGUUACGGCAAUGGAUUGUGACUCCAUCACACGCGGGUUCGACUCCCGUCAUUCGCCCC
rnacentral:tRNA from 1 species